rnacentral:rRNA from 1 species
GGUUAACCGUAUAGGGGAGCCGUAGGGAAACCGAGUCUUAACCGGGCGUUAAGUUGCAGGGUAUAGACCCGAAACCCGGUGAUCUAGCCAUGGGCAGGUUGAAGGUUGGGUAACACUAACUGGAGGACCGAACCGACUAAUGUUGAAAAAUUAGCGGAUGACCUGUGGCUGGGGGUGAAAGGCCAAUCAAACCGGGAGAUAGCUGGUUCUCCCCGAAAGCUAUUUAGGUAGCGCCUCGUGAAUUCAUCUCCGGGGGUAGAGCACUGUUUCGGCUAGGGGGCCAUCCCGGCUUACCAACCCGAUGCAAACUGCGAAUACCGGAGAAUGUUAUCACGGGAGACACACGGCGGGUGCUAACGUCCGUCGUGAAGAGGGAAACAACCCAGACCGCCAGCUAAGGUCCCAAAGUCAUGGUUAAGUGGGAAACGAUGUGGGAAGGCCCAGACAGCCAGGAUGUUGGCUUAGAAGCAGCCAUCAUUUAAAGAAAGCGUAAUAGCUCACUGGUCGAGUCGGCCUGCGCGGAAGAUGUAACGGGGCUAAACCAUGCACCGAAGCUGCGGCAGCGAACGUAUCACCCAAGACAACUUUACGGAGUUGACGAUUGACGGAGCGAAGCGACGUCAAAGCGUUCAUUAAAGUCGAGUUGGCUUAGGGAUACGUUCGUUGGGUAGGGGAGCGUUCUGUAAGCCUGUGAAGGUGUGUCGUGAGGCAUGCUGGAGGUAUCAGAAGUGCGAAUGCUGACAUAAGUAACGAUAAAGCGGGUGAAAAGCCCGCUCGCCGGAAGACCAAGGGUUCCUGUCCAACGUUAAUCGGGGCAGGGUGAGUCGACCCCUAAGGCGAGGCCGAAAGGCGUAGUCGAUGGGAAACGGGUUAAUAUUCCCGUACUUGGUGUUACUGCGAAGGGGGGACGGAGAAGGCUAUGUUGGCCGGGCGACGGUUGUCCCGGUUUAAGCGUGUAGGUGUGUGUUCCAGGUAAAUCCGGUUCACUUUAACACUGAGGCGUGACGACGAGGCACUACGGUGCUGAAGCAACAAAUGCCCUGCUUCCAGGAAAAGCCUCUAAGCAUCAGGUAACACGAAAUCGUACCCCAAACCGACACAGGUGGUCAGGUAGAGAAUACCAAGGCGCUUGAGAGAACUCGGGUGAAGGAACUAGGCAAAAUGGUGCCGUAACUUCGGGAGAAGGCACGCUGACACGUAGGUGAAGUGAUUUACUCAUGGAGCUGAAGUCAGUCGAAGAUACCAGCUGGCUGCAACUGUUUAUUAAAAACACAGCACUGUGCAAACACGAAAGUGGACGUAUACGGUGUGACGCCUGCCCGGUGCCGGAA